UGUUCUGGACUGGGCCACGACGCUUAGCACGGCGCGGCCCAAUGCUCGCCAAGCCCACGUCCAAACGACCGUAUCCAAGCGACCACGAGGACACGUCAGGUGAACGACCGUCCGCCCGGAGAAUGUCUCCCCGGCCCCUUAAAUACGUGUCGGACAACGAGCGGGUCCUCCUCAUAUGAUCUCCAUCCACUCAUCGUCAACCCACGCCGCGGGCACCUAAGUUGUGUCGGGCAGAGCCAUAACGGCAUCUCA
rnacentral:lncRNA from 1 species